rnacentral:rRNA from 1 species
GCCUCUGGCUAUAGGAAAUUGUUAGUGGCAGACGGGUGAGUAUGCGUAGGAAUCUACCUAGUAGUACGGAAUAGUCAUUAGAAAUGGUGGGUAAUACAUGUAUAAUCCCCGAGGGGGAAAGAUUUAUCGCUAUUAGAUGAGCCUACGUUAGAUUAGCUAGUUGGUGAGGUAAUGGCUUACCAAGGCUAUGAUCUAUAGCUGGUCUGAGAGGACGAUCAGCCACACUGGAACUGAGAUACGGUCCAGACUCCUACGGGAGGCAGCARUGGGGAAUAUUGGACAAUGGGCGAAAGCCUGAUCCAGCUAUGCCGCGUGAGUGAAGAAGGCCUUCGGGUUGUAAAACUCUUUCAAUAGGGAAGAUAAUGACG